rnacentral:rRNA from 1 species
UACGGAGGGUGCAAGCGUUAUCCGGAUUUACUGGGUUUAAAGGGUGUGUAGGCAGGCUUUUAAGUCUGGGGUGAAAUCCCCGAAGCUCAACUUCGGAACUGCCUUGGAUACUAUUAGUCUUGAAUUAUGUUGAGGUUGGCGGAAUAUAACAUGUAGCGGUGAAAUGCAUAGAUACGUUAUAGAACACCGAUUGCGAAGGCAGCUAACUAAACAUAUAUUGACGCUGAGGCACGAAAGCGUGGGGAUCAAACAGG